GCGCGCACGAACAUGGCGGGGCCGGGCGGGAGCGGCGCUGGAGGCCGCGGCGUUGUGAUUUCAGACAAUUGGCCUGGAUACAGUCUGGAUUUGUUCACUUAUCCUCAGCACUACUAUGGAGAUUUGGAAUAUGUGCUCAUACCUCACGGCAUUAUUGUUGACAGGACAGAACGACUGGCCAAAGAUAUUGUGCAAGACAUUGGAGACAAUGAUAUUGUGGUUCUCUGUGUCCUCAAAGGUGGCUACAAGUUCUGUGCUGAUCUUGUGGAGCACAUUAAAAAUCUCAGCAGAAAUUCAGAAAGGUUCAUCUCCAUGAAAGUCGAUUUUGUUCGACUGAAAAGUUACCACGGAGUCCUGCUGCUCUCAAUAUACUUCCUUCAGAUAUGUCUUCCUUCCCCCCUCCAGUUGUUUAAAUGCAACGACUAAUUUCAGCUCAAACUCAUGGGAUUUUUAAAUUGUCUCAUUCCAACUUCAAUACUGAAAGAAUGAUCAAUCUAUGCAAGAUAUGCAGAUCAUGGGAGGAGAUGAUCUUUCAAAGCUGACUGGGAAGGUUUGUU